CAGUCGCCACGGUAAUACGUAGGUGACAAGCGUUGUCCGGAAUUAUUGGGCGUAAAGGGCUCGCAGGCGGUUUCUUAAGUCUGAUGUGAAAGCCCCCGGCUCAACCGGGGAGGGUCAUUGGAAACUGGGGAACUUGAGUGCAGAAGAGGAGAGUGGAAUUCCAUGUGUAGCGGUGAAAUGCGUAGAUAUAUGGAGGAACACCAGUGGCGAAGGCGACUCUCUGGUCUGUAACUGACGCUGAGGCUCGAAAGCGUGGGUAGCAAACAGGAUUAGAUACCCGUGUAGUCCCUGUCUCUUAUAC
rnacentral:rRNA from 1 species